AAAGAUAUUACAAGUAUUUGCAUUUUACAACUGAAAUCGUCCGUUUUGUUGUGUGGCAAUGGCUGCCGCAAUUUGGGCCUCCUCUUCUUCAUUUGCUCGCGCUCUCCACCCUCUCCUUAGUCGGCACACAUCUCUCUCCCCGCUUAACUGUAGUCUACAUCGCUUUAAAUCAGCUAGUUGUUUAUUUUUCUCGACAAGCAGUAAUAAACCUCCAAAAUUUGCUGUUUACGCUCAAGCUAGGCGAGCUUUAUCUCCUAAAAUCAAAGGAGACGAAAUGGCUUCUCCUGCUGAUUUGAGUUUCGAGGGGCCUCUGAAAAUUGUAGAAUAUCCAGACCCAAUCCUGAGAGCAAAGAACAAAAGGAUUGGCACAUUUGACGAUAAUUUGAAGAAAUUAGUCAACGAAAUGUUCGAUAUUAUGUAUAAAACUGAUGGCAUUGGGCUGUCUGCACCACAAGUUGGAAUGAACGUUCAACUAAUGGUAUUUAAUGCAGCUGGUGAACGUGGAGAGGGGGAAGAGAUUGUUCUCGUCAAUCCACGUGUUAGUAGAUAUUCUAGAAGGAUGAUACCUUAUGACGAAGGUUGCUUAUCUUUUCCAGAGAUAUAUGGUGAUGUUGAGAGACCAGACUCAGUGAAGGUAGACGCUCAGGACAUUAAUGGUGCAAGGUUUGAGUUAACCUUGACUGCGCUUCCCGCACGAGUCUUCCAGCAUGAAUUUGAUCACCUACAGGGAGUUCUUUUCUUUGAGAAAAUGACUGACGAAGUCCUGGACACCAUCCGUGAAGAUUUAGUGGCUCUGGAAAAGAAAUUUGAGGAGAAGACUGGGUUGCCGACCCCUGAAAGCAUAAAUACACGGAAAAUAAAGAAGGCUGCUGUUGGAUUUGGCAAAUCAUGAGUUUACUGAAAUCUACGAAAAAUUCUCAGGUUAUUUGUGUGAUGAAGCACAAACUGGAAUGCCAGCUUUUGCAGAACUGUGGAUGAAUUGGGGAUCUAAAAAGGGUUGCGGUUUGGUUAGUAAGAGGAAACCAAAGGAAUUAACUUUACCAAGUUUCGGGAGCUAUAGUGCAGAAAACUAUAGAAGAGCAGGAUCAAAUGUUGCUGAAGUUGGCUAGUUGCAUAUGCAAAAUUGUGUUUUGAGACAUUUACUUUGUUAAUAACUUGUAAAAAAAGGCCGCAUGUUAUUUGUAGAAUUUGUUUAGAGAAGAUAAGAAGUCAAGAGUAUAGUGCAAGUUCUGUCUUCCGAACUGCAGACAGAUACUGGGGAUAAAUAAGACUAGACCUAAAGAAUUUGGUCAGUUGUAUGAUGUAUAGUGACCUUUAUACCCUAUUCCCUCUCUAAUAUCUAACAACUCAUUUUGCACCAUUUAAGCUAA